AACGCACAUUGCGCCCCCUGGUAUUCCGGGGGGCAUGCCUGUUCGAGCGUCAUUAUAACCACUCAAGCUCACGCUUGGUCUUGGGGUUCGCGGUUCCGCGGCCCCUAAAAUCAGUGGCGGUGCCUGUCGGCUCUACGCGUAGUAAUACUCCUCGCGUCUGGGUCCGGUGGGUUUACUUGCCAGCAACCCCUAAUUUUUUACAGGUUGACCUCGGAUCAGGUAGGGAUACCCGCUGAACUUAA
rnacentral:misc_RNA from 1 species